rnacentral:misc_RNA from 1 species
GAUGAAGAACGUAGCGAAAUGAGAUAAGUAGUGUGAAUUGCAGAAUUCAGUGAAUCAUCGAAUCUUUGAACGCACAUUGCGCCCCUUGGUAUCCCGAGGGGCAUGCCUGUUCGAGCGUCAUUUCACCACUCAAGCCUGGCUUGGUGUUGGGCGACGUCCUCUUUGGGGACGCGCCUCGAAACGCUCGGCGGCGUGGCACCGGCUUUAAGCGUAGCAGAAUCUUUCGCUUUGGAAGUCGGGGCCCCGUCUGCCGGAAGACCUGCUCGCAAGGUUGACCUCGGAUCAGGCAGGGAUACCCGCUGAACUUAAGCAUAUCAAUAAGCGGAGGA